UCGUAGGAGGCCGGGGAAUGAUCGCCGGUGCGGGCACGGACAAGGAGCAACUCAUGAAAAGCUUCAGGUAAAUCAAAGGAUAACAUUGCUUCAAGGAUGGAUGUUAAGGACAUAUGUUCUCGGAAAGAUUUGGAGAUGAGAGCAGAUGGAAAAGCUCCUAUUCCCAUCUUCAGACUCUCUAAAGAUGAAAAUCUUGCGAUUUUAAAGUGGUUGAGAGAUGAAGUCAAGUUUUCAGAUGGAUAUGCUUCAAACAUUGGAAGGUGUGUUGAUCUGGAAGGUGGAAAACUACAUGGGAUGAAAAGUCAUGAUUGUCAUGUAUUAAUUUAUGCAACGCCUACUUUCUGUUGCCAUCGGUGAACUGCUACCACAACCUGUAACCAAAGCUUUAUGCGGUAUCAGCACGUUCUUCCGAGACAUUUGUUCUAAGAACUUAAAUGUCAAAGAUGUUGAAACUAUGAAGACUAAUAUUCCGAUCAUUCUGUGCGCGUUUGAAAAGAUAUUCCCCCCCAUCGUUCUUCGAUGUUAUGGAGCAUUUGACGAUACAUCUUCCAGAUGAAGCAAUCCUCGGAGGACCGGCUCAAUUCAGAUGGAUGUAUCCGUUUGAAAGGUUCUUCUACCAUCUUAAGCGCAAGGUGAAAAACAAGAAUAAACCAGAAGGUGCAAUCGUCAAACAGUACGUUAAUGAGGAGGUGACGUUUUUUACAAACUACUACUUCGAGCCUCAUGUCCAAACGAAACACAGAAGUGUAUCUAGACAUGCAGACGAAGAGCGACUGUUUGAAUACAAUGAAAUUGUGCCAGAAAUGUUCUAUCAGACUGGACGGCUUAGUGGAAAAUCCAGUCGACGUUGGUUAACUGAAGAGGAGUAUCGACACGCACACACUUACAUCUUAUUGAAUUGUGAAGACAUUCGACCCAUUGAGCGUUUGUUUGACGAGGACAUGAUACGUCAACAUCCAGAUAUUGAUGGUGAUGGUCUGAUCAAGAUGAAAGAAACAUUCUUCUCGACUUGGUUAUAUCAGUAUGUUCAACAAUCACCGCAUCAUCCAGUCUGGUUGAAAGAUUUGAUCCAAGUCCAUCGAGAAAGGUGACAUGUUAUCCGAUCAUGUUCACAAGAGGAUACACGUUUCACACAUUCGAUCAUGGUUCAGAACGACGAGUAUCGAACUACGGAAUUUGUGUUCGAGGUUCCGUAAGCUAUGAGGGCAGAGACAUCAGAAAGAACGCUGCCGGAACUGUUGAUGUUAACAUCACAAGAAAGUAUAAAAAAUACGAUCCAUUCAUCCUUUCAUCUCAAGCUGAUCAGGUGUGUUUUAUGUCUUAUCCAAGUGUUAAACGACAGCGUGAACAAUGGAGUGCGGUCAUCAGAAUACAACCACGACGAAUAUCCCAUGAAGAAAAUGCAACCGAUUCAACAAUGCUACCUCUUCAAGAAAUCAUUCAUGACGUCGAAGAAUUAAACGCGUUGACAUUGCCAUCAAUUGAUAAUCUUAUUGGUCAUAUUGAAGAUGAUAUUCUACAUGUUGAUGAAAAUAUUGUUGAAGAAGGAGAUAGUGAACCCGAAGAAAGUGAUGUAAACGAUGAGGAUGAAGAGGAUUCUGAUUGAAAAAAAAUAAAUAUAGAUUUAGCAACGAAAUUGCAUUGCUAACUGUAGUAGCAACGAAAUUUCGUUGCUAAAUCCUGUAGCAAGGAAAUUGCAUUGCUAACUGUAGUAGCAACGAAAUUACGUUGCGGCCUCCAUGCAGAAUCGGUCUACAUGCAGGCGACAAGUAGCAACGAUUCGUCUCCUUUCGCAACGAAAUUUCGUUGCUAAGUCAAUUAGCAACGAAAUUUCGUUGCUACGGUACGAUUUGACCGUCGCAGUAAUCUGAAACCUUGCAACGAUUUGAAUCACU